rfam:Ordospora colligata OC4 contig_02, whole genome shotgun sequence.
GUCCAUGUAGCUCAAUCGGUAGAGCGCGGCUCUCCUAAAGCCGAGGCUGUGGGUUCGAUUCCCAUCAUGGACG